UACGUAGGGUGCGAGCGUUAAUCGGAAUUACUGGGCGUAAAGCGUGCGCAGGCGGUUCGUUAAGUUCGUUUGUGAAAUCCCCGGGCUCAACCGGGGAACUGCGUCUGAUACUGGGUGGCUUGAAUCCGGGAGAGGGAUGCGGAAUUCCAGGUGUAGCGGUGAAAUGCGUAGAUAAUCUGGAGGAACACCGGUGGCGAAGGCGGCAUCCUGGACCGGCAUUGACGCUGAGGCGCGAAAGCCAGGGGAGCAAAGCGGG
rnacentral:rRNA from 1 species